rnacentral:rRNA from 1 species
AUGAACGCUGGCGGCGUGCCUAAUACAUGCCAGUCGCGCGAACAGACGAGGAGCUUGCUCCUCUGACGUUAGCGGCGGACGGGUGAGUAACACGUGGAUAACCUACCUAUAAGACUGGGAUAACUUCGGGAAACCGGAGCUAAUACCGGAUAAUAUAUUGAACCGCAUGGUUCCAUAGUGAAAGACGGUUUUGCUGUCACUUAUAGAUGGAUCCGCGCCGCAUUAGCUAGUUGGUAAGGUAACGGCUUACCAAGGCAACGAUGCGUAGCCGACCUGAGAGGGUGAUCGGCCACACUGGAACUGAGACACGGUCCAGACUCCUACGGGAGGCAGCAGUAGGGAAUCUUCCGCAAUGGGCGAAAGCCUGACGGAGCAACGCCGCGUGAGUGAUGAAGGUCUUCGGAUCGUAAAACUCUGUUAUUAGGGAAGAACAAAUGUGUAAGUAACUAUGCACGUCUUGACGGUACCUAAUCAGAAAGCCACGGCUAACUACGUG